UACGUAGGGGGCAAGCGUUGUUCGGAAUUACGUGGCGUAAAGGGCGCGUAGCGGCACAGCAAGUCGGGAGUGAAAGCCCGGGGCUCAACCCCGGAAUGGCUUUCGAAACUGCUGAGCUAGAGUACAGAAGGGGCAACCGGAAUUCCCAGUGUAGCGGUGAAAUGCGUAGAUAUUGGGAAGAACACCUGAGGCGAAGGCGGGUUGCUGGGCUGAUACUGACGCUGAGGCGCGAAAGCCAGGGGAGCAAACGGGG
rnacentral:rRNA from 1 species